CCUACGGGUGGCAGCAGUGGGGAAUAUUGGGCAAUGGGCGCAAGCCUGACCCAGCAACGCCGCGUGAAGGAAGACGGCUUUCGGGUUGUAAACUUCUUUUGUCAGGGACGAAGCAAGUGACGGUACCUGACUAUUACGCCACGGCUAACUACGUGCCAGCAGCCGCGGUAAUACGUAGGUGGCAAGCGUUCUCCGGAUUUACUGGGUGUACAGGGCGUGUAGGCGGGGAGGUAAGUGAGAUGUGAAAACCACGGGCUCAACCUGUGGACUGCAGUUGAAACUGUCUUUCUUGAGUGCGGGAGAGGCAGUCGGAAUUCGGGGUGUAGCGGUGAAAUGCGUAGAUAUACGGAGGAACACCAGUGGCGAAGGCGGAUUGCUGGACAGUAACUGACGCUGAGGCGCGAAAGCGUGGGGAGCAAACAGGAUUAGAUACCCUGGUAGUC
rnacentral:rRNA from 1 species